rnacentral:lncRNA from 1 species
GGUUGUAGCCGUCUGUUGAUUCAUGAUUUGGUGAAGCUCCAGUGACUAGGCUCUUUUCGGAGAAGCAGCAAUUACAAGGCUCGCUUCUGCAUGUUCUGUUGUAGAACGGAUUCAUGAUUUUCCAAGGUUAGUUGGAGUGGCUUUGGAGAAGAUAGAAGUUUAUACAACCGGUUAAACCGUCCGGUACACCCGGUUGAACCGUCCGAUACACCUGGUUGAACCGCUUCUAAGCCCGGCCCAGUACGGAAUAAAAACCAGUUUUUAAAACAUUGGUUUCUACAACUCAGCUGCCGGCAACAACCCCGGUACACUGGUGAAGGCUGUCACACUUUGUUGUGGUGAUAUCAGACCAGAAGAUUGUGAGGACUUUGUGAAGAAAGAGGCGGCCGCGUGGAGAUCCAACGAAGAAGUGCAGGGUAGAAAGGUCACGGAACUACAUAUCAUCAUCUUGGACCCUUUAAAUGAUUUAAAUUAUUAGAAGGAUUUUAUAUUUGUUUAUUGCUUUGAAUGUUUCAUCUCCUUUUAGUGAAACAAAUGUGAAAAUUUCAAUAGACAACAUAUUUUACUGU